GUCUUUUAAUUGGAGGCUUGUAUGAAUGGUCGGACAAAAAGUUAACUGUCUCAUUUAUAUAAAUUGAAUUUAACUUUUAAGUGAAAAGGCUUAAAUGUACUGAGGGGACGAUAAGACCCUAUAAAGCUUUACAAUAAGUUAAUUAGAUUAUAAAUUGUUAGUAUAACUUGGUUUUAGUUAUUAUUUGUUUCGUUGGGGCGACGAGAAUAUAAUUAUAUAUAUAACUGUUCUUUUAAGAAGAAAACAAGGUUAAUUGGAUUAGAAUUGAUCCUUUAGUAAAGAUUAAAAGAUUAAGUUACUUUAGGGAUAACAGCGUAAUUUUCUUUGAGAGUCCAUAUCGACAAGAAAGGUUGCGACCUCGAUGUUGA
rnacentral:rRNA from 1 species